rnacentral:rRNA from 1 species
AAUCAACGCUGGCGGCGUGCCUCAGACAUGCAAGUCGAACGAUUAAACUUUCCUUCGGGAAAGAUAUAAAGUGGCGCACGGGUGAGUAACACGUAGGUAAUGUACCUUUGGGUGGGGAAUAACCAUCGGAAACGAUGGCUAAUACCGCAUAAUGCAGCGGCAUCGCAAGAUGACAGUUGUUAAAGAUUUAUCGCCUAAAGAGCAGCCUGCGGCAGAUUAGGUAGNGGUAAGGUAAUGGCUUACCAAGCCUGCGAUCUGUAACCGACCUGAGAGGGUGGUCGGUCACACUGACACUGAAUAAC